GGUUCGAGCCAGCUGGCAACAACAAAACAAACACGUGGGCCCCAGCUGACUUGGAUCGCAUUGAUUGACUGGUAAAGUCUGAAGACAGGAGUCUCCUCCUGCUAAAGUCUUCACGAUCUAUUAAUAGAUCUAUCAUCACCCAUUUCUUUCAGCUAGUCUCACUAAAUCUACGUACACUUGUCGAUCUCAGUCUCGCCCUUGCUUGCUUCUCCAUCUUGUUAUAUUUUCUGUUCAAGUACUGCUGCUACGUGAUUCCCAUAUUUGAACACUGAACCGCAACUUCAAAUUGACCCCAAACUCAGCAGGACAGUAGGUUCAAUUGGAAAUGGGCACAGAGAGCUCUUCACCUCCUCGGUGGAAAUAUGAUGUCUUUUUGAGUUUUAGAGGCGAGGAUACUCGAAAGGGUUUUACAGACCAUCUAUACACUGCAUUGGAUCAUCAAGGAAUCAUAACUUUCAGGGAUGAUCCUGAACUUCACAAAGGGGAAGCUAUUUCUCCAGCACUUUUUGCUGCAAUUAAAGAAUCAAGAUUUGCCCUCAUUGUUCUCUCACAAAAUUAUGCAUCGUCGACAUGGUGCUUGGAGGAACUUGUGAGAAUUCUGGAAUGUAUGAAAGCAAGAGAAGCUGUGCUGCCAAUUUUCUACGAUGUUGAUCCCUCUGAUGUACGAAAGCAAACAGGGAGUUUUGGUGAAGCCUUUGCUAAUCAUGAAGAAAGGUUUAGCGAUGACAAGGAGAAAGUGCGGAGGUGGAGAUCUGCAUUAACAGAAGUGGCAAGUUUCUCAGGGUGGAAUUCAAAGGAAUGGUAUGAAUCAAGGCUCAUUACAGAUAUUGUUGAAGUUAUAUGUAAAAGAUUGCAACCUACAUCAUACAGUUAUGCAGAAAAUCUAGUUGGAAUUUACUCAAGAUUGCAUCGAGUUAAUUCGCUUUUAAGUGUAGGGGAGGAUGACGUCCGCUUCAUUGGUAUAUGGGGAAUGGGCGGGAUUGGUAAGACUACUAUGGUAAGAGCGGUGCAUGAGAGAAUCUCUCAUGAAUUUGAAUCUAAUUUCCUUCUUACGGAUGUUAGAAACUACUCCGUUGAAAACGGUGGUUUACUUAAUCUGCAAAAGCAACUUCUCUCUGGGAUUGGGGCAAAAAACGUUGACAUAUUUGACCUUCAUCAAGGAGCCACCAUAUUACAGAAGUUAUUACGUCACAGAAGAGUUCUUCUCAUUCUUGAUGAUGUGAACCAUUCAAGUCAUUUAAAAUAUUUGGCAGGAAACCAAGAGUGGUUUGGUUCAGGGAGUAGAGUUCUUAUCACAAGUAGAAAUGAGCAUUUGUUGAUUGAACAUGGAGUGGAUAAAAGAUUGAAGGUCGAAGAAUUAAAUGAUGAUGAUUCUCUUCAACUUUUUAGCUGGAAAGCAUUCAAAAGAGGUUACCCUGAAGAAGAUUUUCUUGGUUUGUCAAAAUCUGUUAUAAGUUAUGCCAAAGGUCUUCCUCUAGCUCUUGAAGUACUGGGUUCUUUUUUGUAUGGAAGAGAUAUAAGUGAAUGGAAGAGUGCACUGGAAAAACUGGGAAGAGUUUGUAACCCGAACAUUUUUAAGGUCCUUAAAGUAAGUUACAAUGAUCUAGAUUCCGAAGAGCAGAAAAUUUUCCUAGACAUUGCAUGUUUCUUUAAUGGACGGGACAAAGAUCAAGUAACGGAAGUACUAAACAGUUGCGAUAUUUCUGCAAUUAUUGGAAUAAAAGUCCUCAUAGAAAGAUCUCUCCUAAAUGUUUCGGAUGGAAGACUAAGAAUGCACGAUUUGCUCCAGGAAAUGGGUCACAACAUUGUCCGCGAAGAGUCUGGUAAAGAGCUGGGCAGGUGCAGUAGGUUGUGGGUUCUUGAAGAAGUCAAACAUGUCUUGACCAACAAUACUGGAACUGAAGCAAUAGAAGGUAUAAUUGUGGACUCAAACGAGUUAGGAGUAGACGUGGACGUGACUCCAAAAUCAUUUUCAAUGAUGACCAAAUUGAGAUACCUGAAGAUCGAGAGUGGGAACCUGUCUAAGGAACUUGAGUAUCUUCCAGAUAGUUUACGGAUUCUUGAUUGGACGAGGUAUCCGUUAAAAUCUUUGCCGUCACAUUUCAACCCUCGGAAGCUGCUCCAACUAAGCUUGUCUCAUAGUUGUAUUAAAUAUUUUCGGAUAGGAACGGAGCCUUUAUACAAUUUGAAAACCAUUAAUCUAAGUCACUCUCUGAAUCUUGUCGACACCUCAAACUUUAAAAGUAUGCCACAUCUCGAGUUUCUGUUUCUUGAAGGUUGUAUAAAAUUGUCUGAGGUUGACCCAGGAAUUGGAGAGCUUAAAAGACUUACUGUGCUGCACUUGAAAGAUUGCAACAAUCUUGUGGGUCUUCCAAGCAGUGUAGGUGGCUUAAAAUCUCUCAAAUAUCUCAAUCUUUCUGGUUGCUCAAAGCUUCAGAAAUUGCCAGAUGAGUUGGGUCAUGUUUCUUGUUUGGAGGUGCUUGAUUUGAGUAGAACUGGCAUGAUAGAAGUGCCCUCCCCUAUUGUUCAUUUGGAAAACCUCAAAAAAAUUUCUCUUGCUGGAUGUAAUUUACAUCGGUCAUCAACAUUAUGGAAUAUGCUUGUCCAUCAGUUUUGGCAACAAAGAAGUCACAUUCCGGUAGGAUUGUCGUUGUCUCGUUUGUCGGUUUUGCAUUCAUUAACUGAAUUGAAUGUAAGUGAGUGCAAUCUUUCUGAAUUGCCCAGUGAUUUUGGAUGCUUGUCUUCAUUAAGAAGAUUAGAUCUCAGCAGAAAUCAAUUCAUUACACUACCCGACAGCAUCGGCCAACUCUCUAGACUUGAAUCUCUUCAGUUGCAUUGGUGCCUUAAGCUUCGGACAUUACCAGAGCUUCCAUCUCUUGCAUCGGUAGACGCUAGCCACUGCAUUUCAUUAGAAACUUUGGCCAAUCAAAUAGGACAAUGUAAUUCGGUGCUAUUCGGAUCUUUUGUUAACUGUUUCAAACUGGUGGAGAAUGAAAGCACUGGGAGUAUAGCAGUUGCAUUGUUAACACGCUACCUUAAGAGUAAAGCAUUUUCUGACCAUAAUAAUAGAUUUAACUGUAUUGUUCCUGGAAAUGAAAUUCCAGAGUGGUACAAUCACCAAAGUGUGGGGGAUUCGAUAACCGUAGAGCUGCAACCAGGUUGGUUAAGUAACAAGUGGAUGGGAUUCGCCUGGUGUGUCGUUUUUAGAUUCCUCCGACCACAGCCGCCUUGGGCUGGGAUGUUCUUUAAUUGCAGACUUGCUGCCAAUGGAAAACCCAUGCCCUUCAAUUUUCAAUUUUUUGGGCCAGAGUGGGGAGCUCGAGAGUGGGGAGAGUUCUAUGCAAUUAAACCUGUGUCAGAUCAGAUUUGGUUGUCGAAUUUGCACCGUGAUUUUUGCAAACAUGAGUGGCAGGAUAUCUACUAUCGGCUUGAUUUCUCAAUUCAAAUCAACUACAUCGACAUCGAAAGGAGUGAGGACCGAAUGAUAUAUACGGAAGUUGUGGAAGUGAAGAAGUGUGGGGUCCGUAUGGUAUAUGAGGAAGAUGCAGAGGAGCCUUUGGAAACAUUAUUGCAGCAGAGCAAUGUCGGCAGUUUUACCAAGCGACGCCUUCAACACUAUGAUGGUGAUGAUGACGACGACGAUGCAUCAUCUAGUAGUGCAAGUCAAGCUCAUCCAAAAAAAAUGAAACAACUCCACCUUGACGGCGCAGGACCCAGUGGAACCCCUUAUUCAUGACCAGAAUCGGAGACCCCAACGAAUCAUCGAAGGAAAAGACAUUGAAAAAGCAGGGGAGCUGGAUUACCGUUGGGCCGAGUUCGAUGACGUCCGGUACCACAUUCAGGGCUUGCGGGGAUCAUCUUAUUGUCAUUGGCGGUCCUAGGAAUCUCGGUGAAGGUUUCAUCGAGAUCAAUGCUUGGGUUCCGAGUGAAGGUCCUCCGCAGUGGAACUUGCUUGCGAGAAAGCAAUCCGGUGAUGAUGAAAAACCCACACAUUGUGCUGCUUUUUUUCGCUGCCGGCCCCACCUCCGGAAACUGUGUUCUUGAGUGGGCUUCCUGCUGGGGCUAUAAACGCUGCGUAUGGAUCAGUAGUGCAGAUUCUUGACCCACC